UGGGGAAUUUUGCACAAUGGGGGCAACCCUGAUGCAGCGACGCCGCGUGAUUUAGAAGGCCUUCGGGUUGUAAAAAUCUUUUGUAUAGGAAGAAAAUGACAGUACUAUACGAAUAAGGUCCGGCUAAUUACGUGCCAGCAGCCGCGGUAAUACGUAAGGACCGAGCGUUGUCCGGAAUCAUUGGGCGUAAAGGGUACGUAGGCGGUUAAAAAAGUUAGAAGUGAAAGGCUAUAGCUCAACUAUAGUAAGCUUUUAAAACUGUUUAACUUGAGAGAUGGAAGGGAAAGUGGAAUUCCUAGUGUAGCGGUGAAAUGCGCAGAUAUUAGGAGGAAUACCGGUGGCGAAGGCGACUUUCUGACCAUUAUCUGACGCUGAGGUACGAAAGCGUGGGUAGCAAACAGG
rnacentral:rRNA from 1 species